rnacentral:tRNA from 1 species
UGGGAGAGAUGGCUGAGUGGACUAAAGCGGCGGAUUGCUAUCCCGCGACUCGGAGGUUCGAAUCCUUCCGUCCCAG